UGGUGGAGUGAUUUGUCUGGUUGAUUCCGAUAACGAACGAGACGGGGAGAGCUAACUAGUUUGUAAAGUAAUUCGCGUUACUUUAGGCUUCUUUGCUCGACAACUUGGUUUUACCAAGAGGAAGCGCCCCGCAAUAACA
rnacentral:rRNA from 1 species